rnacentral:misc_RNA from 1 species
UUUGUGUCAUAACAUGUACACCAUAUUUCGCUUUCAAAUCUGUAGACACGUUUUAAUGCCAUAACAUGCUCGUAAAAAUAUUUCUGUAAGAAUUUUACACCUGGAUCUGGAUUAUGGACCAGAACAUUGGCUUGCAGUUUAUAUCUACAUGACAUUUCAACAUUAUUACAAAUCCUAUAUAAGAAUAAGAAUUUGAAUCUCUCUUCCCCUUUUUUUCAAAACAAUGAAUAAAGAAUCACCCAAUGAUAAUGAUCUAAAGAAUCACCUAAUGAUAAUGAUCUUGCUGACCAUAUGCCUGCAACCCAUACGAUAUUCCAUGACAGAAAAUGCAGUUAUCCCAAAUUAAUUGGCUGGUCAAUGCAAAUUGAUAACGCUAUAUUCUCCCAGAAAUAGCAGUCUUGCAG